UACGUAGGGUCCGAGCGUUGUCCGGAAUUAUUGGGCGUAAAGGGCUCGUAGGCGGUUUGUUGCGUCGGGAGUGAAAACUUACAGCUUAACUGUGAGCGUGCUUCCGAUACGGGCAGACUGGAGUACUGCAGGGGAGACUGGAAUUCCUGGUGUAGCGGUGGAAUGCGCAGAUAUCAGGAGGAACACCGGUGGCGAAGGCGGGUCUCUGGGCAGUAACUGACGCUGAGGAGCGAAAGCGUGGGGAGCGAACAGG
rnacentral:rRNA from 1 species